UACAUAGGGAGCAAGCGUUAUCCGGAUUUAUUGGGUGUAAAGGGUGCGUAGACGGGAAAUUAAGUUAGUUGUGAAAUCCCUCGGCUUAACUGAGGAACUGCAACUAAAACUGAUUUUCUUGAGUACUGGAGAGGUAAGCGGAAUUCCUAGUGUAGCGGUGAAAUGCGUAGAUAUUAGGAGGAACACCAGUGGCGAAGGCGGCUUACUGGACUGUAACUGACGUUGAGGCUCGAAAGCGUGGGUAUCGAACAGG
rnacentral:rRNA from 1 species